UGGGGAAUAUUGCACAAUGGGCGCAAGCCUGAUGCAGCCAUGCCGCGUGUGUGAAGAAGGCCUUCGGGUUGUAAAGCACUUUCAGCGAGGAGGAAGGUGGUGAACUUAAUACGUUCAUCAAUUGACGUUACUCGCAGAAGAAGCACCGGCUAACUCCGUGCCAGCAGCCGCGGUAAUACGGAGGGUGCAAGCGUUAAUCGGAAUUACUGGGCGUAAAGCGCACGCAGGCGGUUUGUUAAGUCAGAUGUGAAAUCCCCGGGCUCAACCUGGGAACUGCAUUUGAAACUGGCAAGCUAGAGUCUCGUAGAGGGGGGUAGAAUUCCAGGUGUAGCGGUGAAAUGCGUAGAGAUCUGGAGGAAUACCGGUGGCGAAGGCGGCCCCCUGGACGAAGACUGACGCUCAGGUGCGAAAGCGUGGGGAGCGAACAGGAUUAGAUACCCUGGUAGUCCACGCUGUAAACGAUGUCGAUUUUGGAGGUUGUGCCCUUGAGGCGUGGCUUCCGGAGCUAACGCGUUAAAUCGACCGCCUGGGGAGUACGGCCGCAAGGUU
rnacentral:rRNA from 1 species